rnacentral:rRNA from 1 species
AUUGAACGCUGGCGGCAGGCCUAACACAUGCAAGUCGAACGAGUGGCGGACGGGUGAGUAAUGUCUGGGAAACUGCCCGAUGGAGGGGGAUCACUACUGGAAACGGUAGCUAAUACCGCAUAACAUCAGAUGUGCCCAGAUGGGAUUAGCUAGGAGGUGGGGUAACGGCUCACCUAGGCGACGAUCCCUAGCUGGUCUGAGAGGAUGACAAGCAACACUGGAACUGAGACACGGUCCAGACGCCGACGGGAGGCAGCAGUGGGGAAUAUUGCACAAUGGGCGCAAGCCUGAUGCAGCCAUGCCGCGUGUGUGAAGAAGGCCUUCGGGUUGUAAAGCACUUUCAGCGGGGAGGCGUUACCCGCAGAAGAAGCACCGGCUAACUCCGUGCCAGCCGCCGCGGUAAUUC